rnacentral:rRNA from 1 species
AUUGAACGCUGGCGGCAUGCCUAACACAUGCAAGUCGAACGAGUGGAGGACGGGUGAGCAAUGGCUGGGAAAGUGCCUGAUGGAGGGGGAUAAGUGCGGGAAACGGUAGAUAAUAGCGCAUACCAUCUGAUGUGCCCAGAUGGGUGUAGGUAGUAGGUGGGUUAAAGGCUUACGUAGGCGACGAUCCCUAGCUGGUCUGAGAGGAUGACCGGCCACACGUGAACGGCGACACGGUCCAGACUCCUACGGGAGGCAGCAGUAGGGAAUAUUGCGCAAUGGGCGCAAGCCUGAUGCAGCCAUGCCGCGUGUAUGAAGAAGGCCUUCGGGUUGUAAAGUACUGUCAGCGGGGAGGCGUUACCCACACAAGAAGCAACGGCUAACUCCGUGCCAGCAGCCGCGGUAAUAC